rnacentral:tRNA from 1 species
GUGGCCGUAGCUCAGUGGUAGAGCAGGAGGUUGUGACCCUCCCGUCCCGGAUUCGAUUUCCGGCGGUCACCCCA